rnacentral:tRNA from 1 species
GGGGUUGUGGCUCAGCGGUAGAGCGUUUGCCUCACACAUGCAACAUGCUGAGUUCGAUCCUCAGUACCACA